rnacentral:rRNA from 1 species
UGAGGAAUAUUGGUCAAUGGACGCAAGUCUGAACCAGCCAAGUAGCGUGCAGGAUGACGGCCCUAUGGGUUGUAAACUGCUUUUAUAUGGGGAUAAAGUGGGGAACGUGUUCCCUUUUGCAGGUACCAUACGAAUAAGGACCGGCUAAUUACGUGCCAGCAGCCGCGGUAAUACGUAAGGUCCGAGCGUUGUCCGGAAUCAUUGGGCGUAAAGGGUACGUAGGCGGAUAAGCAAGUUAGAAGUGAAAUCCUAUAGCUCAACUAUAGUAAGCUUUUAAAACUGCUCAUCUUGAGGUAUGGAAGGGAAAGUGGAAUUCCUAGUGUAGCGGUGAAAUGCGCAGAUAUUAGGAGGAAUACCGGUGGCGAAGGCGACUUUCUGGCCAUAUACUGACGCUGAGGUACGAAAGCGUGGGUAGCAAACAGG